AUCCCUUCGCUAAGGAGUCUCUUAUGCGGAAACUCAUGGCCGCUAUCAUAGCGGGCCUGAUAGGGCUGACCGCGCUGUCCGUGUCGGUCACGGCUGUCGCAUGUGGUGAUUCGAGUUAUCAGUCUUCGGCUGAUGGCAAAUGAACCCACCGCCCGAAGGCGCCGAGUGCGCACAAAAAAAGGCCUUCAUCUGACGAUGAGGGCCUUUUACU
rnacentral:ncRNA from 1 species